rnacentral:rRNA from 1 species
CCUACGGGGGGCAGCAGUGGGGGAUAUUGCACAAUGGGGGGAACCCUGAUGCAGCGACGCCGCGUGGGUGAAGGAGUGCUUCGGCAUGUAAAGCCCUAUCGGCAGGGAAGAAGCAAGACGGUACCUGACUAAGAAGCCCCGGCUAACUACGUGCCAGCAGCCGCGGUAAUACGUAGGGGGCGAGCGUUAUCCGGAUUCACUGGGUGUAAAGGGAGCGUAGACGGCCAUGCAAGCCAGGGGUGAAAGCCCGGGGCCCAACCCCGGGACUGCCCUUGGAACUGUGCGGCUAGAGGGCGGGAGGGGCAGGCGGAAUGCCUGGUGGAGCGGGGAAAGGCGUAGAUAUCAGGAGGAACAGCGGCGGCGAAGGCGGCCUGCUGGACUGCGACUGAGGUUGAGGCUCGAAAGCGUGGGGAGAGAACAGGAUUAGAUACCCGGGUAGUG